rnacentral:tRNA from 1 species
GGGUCGUUAGCUCAGUCGGUAGAGCCGUUGACUUUUAAUCAAUUGGUCGCAGGUUCGAGCCG